rnacentral:snRNA from 8 species
AAGUGUAGUAUUUGUUUUUUUCAGUUUAAUAUUUGAUACGUCCCCCCUCGGGGGGGUACAUAUUUAAAGGAUUUUUUUAACAGGGAGUUUGAAAAGGGGGUUGUUCCGUUUCCUCCACGCAUUUACCCGGUUUUGCAGUACCUCUGGGAACGGUGCAACACUU